ACUCGCCUGCGGAAACACCACCACUUAACAAUCAGACAACACUACUUCGCACUUCCGCAUCAAACAAAAAGAACACCAUAGACUUUUCAGAAGCGACAAAUAGAAACUGGGUGAAAUGUCAACGACCGUGCGGUGUGAUCGCAGUUAGAAGGCGCGGGGCGAGGGGCGCGGGGCGGGGACGCGACACUGCACUUCCCGACGCCGCCGACUAGAUUAGCCGGUUGCGUCACGACGUGAGCGGCUCCUAGUAUAUAGAAAACUAAUCUAUUUUAUUUAUGGAUGAAGUUUCAGAAAACAGUAAUUCAUGAGACACAGUUUCGACGGGUGAUGUAUUAUGUCGCGGUGGAUGCGGCGGGCGCGAGGUGCGAGCGCGAGAUGUGGCGGCGCGGCGCGCGAGGAGAAAGUGAAAGCGGCUCGACGUGAGCGCAGAUGCGGCGCCCGGAAGCGUUGUGCGCGCCGUGAUGCGUCCCGCGGGCCGCGCACACAUCACAAAGGGCCCUACGUCACACUAUUAUUAUGUAUAAUAUAUUACUUUCAGCUAUUACGUUUCACUCAUAUCUUUGCAUACUAUGUAUUUCAGACUAAUAAAUGUGCUCAAUAAAGUUAUUACUAAACGCAA